rnacentral:rRNA from 1 species
AUGAGGAAGAAAAUUGGCCUGGGUGGUGGCGUGGCUGGUGCCGUGGUGCCUGUCAUGGAUCUGGAAGUGGUGGAGCUCAUCCAGCAGGUCCUCCGCCUGGUCGGCGUUCCUGCUCAGCGCCGGCAGCAAGUCCUGCAGUCCAGGGUUGUGGCCGAGGUCGCGGUGCAGCAGGCCUCGCGUGUGCGCGAGCUUGGCCUUGAUCUGCUGGGAGUUGUGGCCGAGCUCGAGGCUGCCCACGUAAGCCGCCACCGGGACGGCGGACGAGGAGCGCGGCCGCCAUCUGCACUCCGCCGGCUGCCUCGCCUCAGCUCCGAGCUCGGUCAACGCCGCCGGGGAGUGGUGUCGUGCGGGGAAGCAUGGACAGGGGAGCAACGGGACUCUUCCCCGACGGCGCACGCCACCGUAGGCCCGUCUGCACUCCGCUGGCGCUGGCCGCCGUAA